rnacentral:rRNA from 2 species
GNNGNGNGANNGNCUACACAUGCAGUCGAGCGGAUGAAGAGAGCUUGCUCUCUGAUUCAGCGGCGGACGGGUGAGUAAUGCCUAGGAAUCUGCCUGAUAGUGGGGGACAACGUUUCGAAAGGAACGCUAAUACCGCAUACGUCCUACGGGAGAAAGCAGGGGACCUUCGGGCCUUGCGCUAUCAGAUGAGCCUAGGUCGGAUUAGCUAGUUGGUGAGGUAACGGCUCACCAAGGCGACGAUCCGUAACUGGUCUGAGAGGAUGAUCAGUCACACUGGAACUGAGACACGGUCCAGACUCCUACGGGAGGCAGCAGUGGGGAAUAUUGGACAAUGGGCGAAAGCCUGAUCCAGCCAUGCCGCGUGUGUGAAGAAGGUCUUCGGAUUGUAAAGCACUUUAAGUUGGGAGGAAGGGCAUUAACCUAAUACGUUAGUGUUUUGACGUUACCGACAGAAUAAGCACCGGCUAACUUCUUGCCAGCACCCGCGGUAAUACGAAGGGUGCAAGCGUUAAUCUUAAUUACUGGGCGUAAAACGCGCGUAUGUGGUUUGUUAAAUUAAAUGUGAAAGCCCCGGGCUCAACCUGGGAACUGCAUCCCAAACUGGCAAGCUAGAGUAUGGCAGAUGGUGGUGGAAUUUCCUGUGUAGCGGUGAAAUGCGUACAUAUAUGAAGGAACACCACUGGGGAAGGCGACCACCUGGGCUAAUACUGACACUGAGGUGCGAAAGCGUGUGGAGCUAACAGGAUUAGAUACCCUGGUAGUCCACGCCGUAAACGAUGUCUACUAGCCGCUGGGAUCCUUGAGAUAUUAGUGGCGCAGCUAACGCAUUAAGUCGACCGCCUGGGGAGUACGGCCGCGAGGUUAAAAUUCAAGGAAUUGACCGAAA